AAUCAUUUUUUUAGUUAAUAGGUAAAACAGCAAAAAACCGGUUUUUGUACGGGUGGCGAGUCCCCCUCUACGGCUAAUGGGUAUAUCCUCACGGGACACCCUGUAUACUGUAUAGUAUAGACUAUACCAAUUGACACGGCAACGGUCGUAAAUCGUAACGACAUUAUUUGGGUUUAUUGUUAUGUGUUUAUGACCAUAAAUUGAUUUUACAACACAUAUUAUUAUUUUUCAAUUUAUUUUGCUGUGGACGUCUGGACGGUGGACACAUUGGCCGUUUCUCUGCAGCGUAUUCAAAAUUGUCUUUGUACUGUGGGCUGUGCCACUGUCGGUGUGUAAGCUGUCAUAAUUUUUGGAAAAAAGCGAAACAUUUACAGAUGCUGUAAACUGAGGUACUGCACUACAAAGAGUAUGAAAUUUCCAACUCUAAACAGUUUUUUGAUGAAAAACUGUAUGAAACAUUUCCGAAUGUUUUUAUAGCUCUUAGAAAUUUUCUUUCCAUGGCAGUAUCCAACUGGCAACUGCACCGCUGAAAGGUCAUUUUCCGCUCUAAAAAUAAUAAAAAUGUGUUUACGAGCCAAUUUACUGGAAGAAAAACUCAACGCUUUGUCCAUACUGUGUAUUGAGAACCGCAUCACAAUCGAACUAGACUUUGACCAGUUGAUAAAUGAUUUUUCCCAAUUAAAAGCUCGAAAAGAACUGCAUCAAAUCAUUCGUACUAUUUAUUUUUAAAUUGUAACUUGUAAGAUUAUAUGUAAUACAAUAUUUGAAUUCAA